UGGUGAAACACUGGCAUAGGUUGCCCAGGGAGGUGGUAGAUGUCCCAUCCCCAGACACAUUCAAGGUCAGAUUGGAAGGGGCUCUGAGCAGCCC